UGCGUAGGUGGUGAGGUAAGUCGGAUGUGAAAUCUCCAGGCUCAACCUGGAAAUGGCAUCGGAAACUACCUUGCUCGAGGUUUGGAGGGGGGACUGGAAUACUUGGUGUAGCAGUGAAAUGCGUAGAUAUCAAGUGGAACACCAGUGGCGAAGGCGAGUCCCUGGACAAAACCUGACACUGAGGCACGAAAGCUAGGGAGCAAACA
rnacentral:rRNA from 1 species